GACAGGACGGAGAGGUUGUACGAACAAAAACAGCUGAAUCGGCUACCCAUAAAUGAUCAUAAGCUGACAAGGUUAGGUUCCCCUACCCAUUUAGCCCUGAAUUAGAGUGCAAAACCGUUCAAAUGUUGGAUGAAAAAUCACUAUCUGAGUAAGAACAUUGCAAUGGUUUCUGUAGUUCGAUGAUUCUAUAUGUGAUCAACCAAAAUCAAAUACGAGCCGUCAAUCCAAUGCGGCAUUCCGAUCAAAAUCUGGACAAAACCAGAGUGGUCUGCUGCGUCGGCGACUUCCAUGGCUACUUACUCCAGAUUUCAACGCCGCCCACAUAAUUUUCUUGGCGAUUAGUGCGACAGGGGACCAAAUACCCGAGAAGUAAUCGAUUUCUUGGUCGGUUUACCCUCCAGAUACCCAAAGCAGAAGCACGUUUUCAACGGCGGGAAUCACGAUUUGGUGCCUGAUUGUGAGGGUUCCAUUUUGGAUGCUGGACCGACAUUUGAAUCCCAUGGUGUUCCUCAUGGAUCUGCUGGAUGUAGGUGAGGAGCCAACCAUUGUUGUAAGUGGACACCAUGGAAAGCUUCAUCAAGGUCACCUCACACUAAUAAUAUGAAACAACAAUCAUCAAGGUAACGACAAGAACGUAUUGGGCAAGUGGCGGGAUGUGUGCUAAUUUAGUCAUGAGGAUCGUAUCAACAUGUUUCAUUCUUUAUUGCAUGUUCGGGAUAUUUUAAUUUGUCUUAAUCUAACGUUGUGUUCUAGUUUUUUCCAAAACAUUGAUUUUACUCAAGAGUUAAAUGGAGUUGUUGUCUACAAAAUUU